rnacentral:rRNA from 1 species
CGAAUGGGGAAACCCAGUGUGAUUCGUCACACUAUCAUUAACUGAAUCCAUAGGUUAAUGAGGCGAACCGGGGGAACUGAAACAUCUAAGUACCCCGAGGAAAAGAAAUCAACCGAGAUUCCCCCAGUAGCGGCGAGCGAACGGGGAGGAGCCCAGAGCCUGAAUCAGCAUGUGUGUUAGUGGAAGCGUCUGGAAAGGUGCGCGAUACAGGGUGACAGCCCCGUACACAAAAGCGCAUGUGCUGUGAGCUCGAUGAGUAGGGCGGGACACGUGGUAUCCUGUCUGAAUAUGGGGGGACCAUCCUCCAAGGCUAAAUACUCCUGACUGACCGAUAGUGAACCAGUACCGUGAGGGAAAGGCGAAAAGAACCCCGGCGAGGGGAGUGAAAAAGAACCUGAAACCGUGUACGUACAAGCAGUGGGAGCACCCUUCGGGGUGUGACUGCGUACCUUUUGUAUAAUGGGUCAGCGACUUAUAUUCUGUAGCAAGGUUAACCGUAUAGGGGAGCCGUAGGGAAACCGAGUCUUAACCGGGCGUUAAGUUGCAGGGUAUAGACCCGAAACCCGGUGAUCUAGCCAUGGGCAGGUUGAAGGUUGGGUAACACUAACUGGAGGACCGAACCGACUAAUGUUGAAAAAUUAGCGGAUGACCUGUGGCUGGGGGUGAAAGGCCAAUCAAACCGGGAGAUAGCUGGUUCUCCCCGAAAGCUAUUUAGGUAGCGCCUCGUGAAUUCAUCUCCGGGGGUAGAGCACUGUUUCGGCUAGGGGGCCAUCCCGGCUUACCAACCCGAUGCAAACUGCGAAUACCGGAGAAUGUUAUCACGGGAGACACACGGCGGGUGCUAACGUCCGUCGUGAAGAGGGAAACAACCCAGACCGCCAGCUAAGGUCCCAAAGUCAUGGUUAAGUGGGAAACGAUGUGGGAAGGCCCAGACAGCCAGGAUGUUGGCUUAGAAGCAGCCAUCAUUUAAAGAAAGCGUAAUAGCUCACUGGUCGAGUCGGCCUGCGCGGAAGAUGUAACGGGGCUAAACCAUGCACCGAAGCUGCGGCAGCGAACGUAUCACCCAAGACAACUUUACGGAGUUGACGAUUGACGGAGCGAAGCGACGUCAAAGCGUUCAUUAAAGUCGAGUUGGCUUAGGGAUACGUUCGUUGGGUAGGGGAGCGUUCUGUAAGCCUGUGAAGGUGUGUCGUGAGGCAUGCUGGAGGUAUCAGAAGUGCGAAUGCUGACAUAAGUAACGAUAAAGCGGGUGAAAAGCCCGCUCGCCGGAAGACCAAGGGUUCCUGUCCAACGUUAAUCGGGGCAGGGUGAGUCGACCCCUAAGGCGAGGCCGAAAGGCGUAGUCGAUGGGAAACGGGUUAAUAUUCCCGUACUUGGUGUUACUGCGAAGGGGGGACGGAGAAGGCUAUGUUGGCCGGGCGACGGUUGUCCCGGUUUAAGCGUGUAGGUGUGUGUUCCAGGUAAAUCCGGUUCACUUUAACACUGAGGCGUGACGACGAGGCACUACGGUGCUGAAGCAACAAAUGCCCUGCUUCCAGGAAAAGCCUCUAAGCAUCAGGUAACACGAAAUCGUACCCCAAACCGACACAGGUGGUCAGGUAGAGAAUACCAAGGCGCUUGAGAGAACUCGGGUGAAGGAACUAGGCAAAAUGGUGCCGUAACUUCGGGAGAAGGCACGCUGACACGUAGGUGAAGUGAUUUACUCAUGGAGCUGAAGUCAGUCGAAGAUACCAGCUGGCUGCAACUGUUUAUUAAAAACACAGCACUGUGCAAACACGAAAGUGGACGUAUACGGUGUGACGCCUGCCCGGUGCCGGAAGGUUAAUUGAUGGGGUCAGCGCAAGCGAAGCUCCUGAUCGAAGCCCCGGUAAACGGCGGCCGUAACUAUAACGGUCCUAAGGUAGCGAAAUUCCUUGUCGGGUAAGUUCCGACCUGCACGAAUGGCGUAAUGAUGGCCAGGCUGUCUCCACCCGAGACUCAGUGAAAUUGAACUCGCUGUGAAGAUGCAGUGUACCCGCGGCAAGACGGAAAGACCCCGUGAACCUUUACUAUAGCUUGACACUGAACAUUGAGCCUUGAUGUGUAGGAUAGGUGGGAGGCUUUGAAGUGUGGACGCCAGUCUGCAUGGAGCCGACCUUGAAAUACCACCCUUUAAUGUUUGAUGUUCUAACGUGGACCCGUAAUCCGGGUUGCGGACAGUGUCUGGUGGGUAGUUUGACUGGGGCGGUCUCCUCCUAAAGAGUAACGGAGGAGCACGAAGGUUGGCUAAUCCUGGUCGGACAUCAGGAGGUUAGUGCAAUGGCAUAAGCCAGCUUGACUGCGAGCGUGACGGCGCGAGCAGGUGCGAAAGCAGGUCAUAGUGAUCCGGUGGUUCUGAAUGGAAGGGCCAUCGCUCAACGGAUAAAAGGUACUCCGGGGAUAACAGGCUGAUACCGCCCAAGAGUUCAUAUCGACGGCGGUGUUUGGCACCUCGAUGUCGGCUCAUCACAUCCUGGGGCUGAAGUAGGUCCCAAGGGUAUGGCUGUUCGCCAUUUAAAGUGGUACGCGAGCUGGGUUUAGAACGUCGUGAGACAGUUCGGUCCCUAUCUGCCGUGGGCGCUGGAGAACUGAGGGGGGCUGCUCCUAGUACGAGAGGACCGGAGUGGACGCAUCACUGGUGUUCGGGUUGUCAUGCCAAUGGCACUGCCCGGUAGCUAAAUGCGGAAGAGAUAAGUGCUGAAAGCAUCUAAGCACGAAACUUGCCCCGAGAUGAGUUCUCCCUGAGACUUAGAGUCUCCUGAAGGAACGUUGAAGACGACGACGUUGAUAGGCCGGGUGUGUAAGCGCAGCGAUGCGUUGAGCUAACCGGUACUAAUGAACCGUGAGGCUUAACCUU